CCUGCCCUUGACUCUGGGAUAACCUCCGGAAACGGAAGCUAAUACCGGAUACGAACUGCGAAGGCAUCUUCAGCAGUUGGAAAGAACUUCGGUCAAGGAUGGACUCGCGGCCUAUCAGGUAGUUGGUGAGGUAACGGCCCACCAAGCCUACGACGGGUAGCCGGCCUGAGAGGGUGACCGGCCACACUGGGACUGAGACACGGCCCAGACUCCUACGGGAGGCAGCAGUGGGGAAUAUUGCACAAUGGGCGCAAGCCUGAUGCAGCAACGCCGCGUGAGGGAUGACGGCCUUCGGGUUGUAAACCUCUUUUAGUAGGGAAGAAGCGAAAGUGACGGUACCUGCAGAAAAAGCACCGGCUAACUACGUGCCAGCAGCCGCGGUAAUACGUAGGGUGCGAGCGGUGUCCGGAAUUAUUGGGCGUAAAGAGCUCGUAGGCGGUCUGUCGCGUCUGCUGUGAAAACCCGAGGCUCAACCUCGGGCCUGCAGUGGGUACGGGCAGACUAGAGUGCGGUAGGGGAGAAUGGAAUUCCUGGUGUAGCGGUGGAAUGCGCAGAUAUCAGGAGGAACACCGAUGGCGAAGGCAGUUCUCUGGGCCGUAACUGACGCUGAGGAGCGAAAGCGUGGGGAGCGAACAGGAUUAGAUACCCUGGUAGUCCACGCCGUAAACGUUGGGCGCUAGAUGUGGGGACCAUUCCACGGUUUCCGUGUCGCAGCUAACGCAUUAAGCGCCCCGCCUGGGGAGUACGGCCGCAAGGCUAAAACUCAAAGGAAUUGACGGGGGCCCGCACAAGCGGCGGAGCAUGCGGAUUAAUUCGAUGCAACGCGAAGAACCUUACCAAGGCUUGACAUAUACGAGAACGGGCUAGAAAUAGUCAACUCUUUGGACACUCGUAAACAGGUGGUGCAUGGUUGUCGUCAGCUCGUGUCGUGAGAUGUUGGGUUAAGUCCCGCAACGAGCGCAACCCUCGUUCUAUGUUGCCAGCACGUAAUGGUGGGAACUCAUAGGAGACUGCCGGGGUCAACUCGGAGGAAGGUGGGGAUGACGUCAAAUCAUCAUGCCCCUUAUGUCUUGGGCUUCACGCAUGCUACAAUGGCCGGUACAAAGGGCUGCAAUACCGCAAGGUGGAGCGAAUCCCAAAAAGCCGGUCUCAGUUCGGAUUGAGGUCUGCAACUCGACCUCAUGAAGUCGGAGUCGCUAGUAAUCGCAGAUCAGCAACGCUGCGGUGAAUACGUUCCCGGGCCUUGUACAC
rnacentral:rRNA from 1 species